rnacentral:rRNA from 1 species
GAGCACAGAGCAAUCUGUGUGACUGCGUACCUUUUGUAUAAUGGGUCAGCGACUUAUAUUCUGUAGCAAGGUUAACCGAAUAGGGGAGCCGAAGGGAAACCGAGUCUUAACUGGGCGUUAAGUUGCAGGGUAUAGACCCGAAACCCGGUGAUCUAGCCAUGGGCAGGUUGAAGGUUGGGUAACACUAACUGGAGGACCGAACCGACUAAUGUUGAAAAAUUAGCGGAUGACUUGUGGCUGGGGGUGAAAGGCCAAUCAAACCGGGAGAUAGCUGGUUCUCCCCGAAAGCUAUUUAGGUAGCGCCUCGUGAAUUCAUCUCCGGGGGUAGAGCACUGUUUCGGCAAGGGGGUCAUCCCGACUUACCAACCCGAUGCAAACUGCGAAUACCGGAGAAUGUUAUCACGGGAGACACACGGCGGGUGCUAACGUCCGUCGUGAAGAGGGAAACAACCCAGACCGCCAGCUAAGGUCCCAAAGUCAUGGUUAAGUGGGAAACGAUGUGGGAAGGCCCAGACAGCCAGGAUGUUGGCUUAGAAGCAGCCAUCAUUUAAAGAAAGCGUAAUAGCUCACUGGUCGAGUCGGCCUGCGCGGAAGAUGUAACGGGGCUAAACCAUGCACCGAAGCUGCGGCAGCGACGCUGAUGCGUUGUUGGGUA